GGAAGGAUCAUUAUUGAAUUAUGUUUCUAGAUGGGUUGUCGCUGGCUCUUUGGAGCAUGUGCACGCCUGUUUGGACUUCAUUUUCAUCCACCUGUGCACCUAUUGUAGUCUUUGGUCGGGUUAUUGAGGAAGUGGUCAGUCUAUCAGCAUUAGCUGGAUUUGAGGACUUGCGGUGCGAAAGUAGUGCUGUCCUUUACUUGGCCAUGGAGUCUUKUUCCUGCCAGAGUCUAUGUCAUUCAUUAUACCCUAUAGAAUGUCAUUGAAUGUCUUURCAUGGGCUUGUAUGCCUAUGAAAWUUGUAAUACAACUUUCAGCAACGGAUCUCUUGGCUCUCGCAUCGAUGAAGAACGCAGCGAAAUGCGAUAAGUAAUGUGAAUUGCAGAAUUCAGUGAAUCAUCGAAUCUUUGAACGCAUCUUGCGCUCCUUGGUAUUCCGAGGAGCAUGCCUGUUUGAGUGUCAUUAAAUUCUCAACUCUCCUAUACUUUGUUGUGAAGGAGGGCUUGGAUUGUGGAGGUUUGCUGGCCACAUGUGUUGAGGUCAGCUCCUCUGAAAUGCAUUAGCGGAACCGUUUGCGAUCUGCCACAAGUGUGAUAAACUAUCUACACUGGCGAGGGGAUUGCUCUCUGUGCUGUUCAGCUUCYAAUCGUCUCAGUUUGUKUGAGACAACWUUUCUGAAUGCUUGACCUCAAAUCAGGUAGGACUACCCGCUGAACUUAA
rnacentral:rRNA from 1 species